GACGAACGCUGGCGGCGUGCUUAACACAUGCAAGUCGAACGAUGAAGAAAAGAAUUGAAGCUUCGGCAGAAAUUCAUUUCGGAUUAGUGGCAGACGGGUGAGUAACGCGUGAGCAACCUACCUCUUACAAAGGGAUAGCCUCGGGAAACCGGGAUUAAUACCAUCUAACAUUGCGACGAAGCAUUUCGAUGCAAUCAAAGCUACGGCGGUAAGAGAUGGGCUCGCGUCCCAUUAACCAGAUGGUGAGGUAACGGCUCACCAUAGUAACGAUGGGUAACCGGCCUGAGAGGGUGAACGGUCACACUGGAACUGAGACACGGUCCAGACUCCUACGGGAGGCAGCAGUGGGGAAUAUUGCACAAUGGAGGGAACUCUGAUGCAGCGACGCCGCGUGAGUGAUGAAGGAAUUCGUUUCGUAAAACUCUGUUCUAUGGGAAGAAAAGGACUGUACCAUAGGAGAAAGCGCCGGCUAAAUACGUG
rnacentral:rRNA from 1 species